rnacentral:lncRNA from 1 species
UAUAAAAAAUUUUCUAUCAAAAUUUCAUGUAAUUUGGAUAUUUCUACACCGUUAAACUUGCAACCAGCUCACCACGGUCAUUAAAAUUAUUGAUUUUGAAACCCUUCGAUCACUAGAGAAAUGAUAUCGAAAAAUUACAAAAUUUAUUUUCUUGAUAUUUUAAAUACUCUAGAUCAACUCUAACAGAGCCGAUUAUCGAUUUGAAAGUCCGAACAUCGAAAACAACUUG